CACACAGAGUUAGAAAUAGUGAAAGAAGCACGUGUGACGGACUGAAUGCAGAAAAAAGAAGAAAGCACAGCACUGCUCCAUUCGUUCGUAAUCACUUUUACUUUGACACCUCCAAGAUCGACAGUGAUCGAAACAGUGGUCGAAUGUCUUACGUUCGAGUCGGCAUUGUGUCUGUCUAACGGCAUUGAUGGGCGUCUGGUGGUUGAAAAUUCAACAAAUGCUGCAUUUAAAAUGCAGAUACAUUGCACUUCGUAUCAACAGAAGAAAAUCAACCCAAGUCGCAUAUGUGUGGCUUAUCAAGGUUUUUGCGGCAACAAUUGAAAUGAAAGACUUUUACAUUAUUCUGUCAUCGCAUAUCACAGCACGAUCCGCAACGAUGUACUCGGCAAAGUGACCAACAUCUAUUCUACUUUCCUACGCCAUCAUCGAACAUCAGUGCUGCCACAUCACACGAACAAUCCAUACAUUCACCUUGAUACCAUGGUCUGCUGGAAAAUGUUUGCUAUGGGACACAUCUUGCCGAGACACAGUUGCAAAAUCGUAUUUGAUGAACAGUUGGUUGGGUGGCAAAGACGGCAGAGGACAAAACGAUCGCGCUAUAUAAUUCUUUAAUUAGCCAAUAUCUCUUUGUUCCUUUAAAAAAAAAAUCCAAACAUUUGCCUUGGGCGCAAAAUUCUCAAUUUUAAGGACUCGAAAUUGUUGUGGAAAAAAAAUUGUUUAGAAGAGUCUGCAGUAUCAACAGCGUCUAGGGCGCCAAAAGCCUGAUGGCAGCACUGUCGAACAUUUAAAAACAGACAACACUCAAAGUCACUGGGCUUUUCGCCUAACUGACUGAAUGACAUUACCAACGAACAAUUGCAUGUAACACAAUGAGACAUUAUCGGUACUCAAUCCAAGAUGCAACCUAAUAAGAGAUUCAUUCAGAUGUCAUUAUUGUGGACCUGAUGAAACGAAUUAUUUGUAUUUGUAUCGGUUGAGUUUCGAACCCACAACUGGCACUUCAUAUUUCUCGACUUUCACUCUACGCUUUUUUCGGCAGAACGACAUAUUCAAUUCCACUUAUAACUAAUAUAAGUCAAUGGUUAAGAGGCAUCGGUACUUUGCUGAAAAGCAUACAUUUGGGCGUUUUUUAAAUACUGGAUUU